UAUUUUUCAGAUCAAGCAACAACUGCAUGGUUUGUUUCAAGGUUCCCUUGAUAUCGAUACUUUGGGACAAACACAAGAAUUUUCAACCCGUUCCCAUUUGUCAAUGUGGCGGCAUGAAAGCAUGGAUGGAUUAUCAACAAUAAGAAUAUGUGAUGCAAUUUAUGAUGGGCUUAAACGAAUCUUAUGCCAGGUGUGUGGCAGAUUUUGAUGCUUGACCCAUUACCCCUGGUUGCGAAGGUUUUCAAUCUUGUAAUUCAAGAAGAAUGACAACACACUAUUUGAUCCGGUCCCCUUGCUUUGUGUGAAUCCCUAGCAUUUAGCACUCCCUCAUCGUCUCCCUCUAUUGUAGCUUUCUUUUCUCAAAGUAAGCCCAAGUGUAAUCGCUCAAUUUGUUCUCAUUGUGGGCUCACAGGGCAUACUGUGGACCAUUGCUACAAGUUACAUGGGUACCCACUUGGGUAUAAGCCCAAACCCAUGGCCCAAUUAAGCUCCCUUCAAUCUACCAACAUUCCAUCAUUUUUCCCUGAGCCAUCAAAGGACACCCAUUUUUCUUUUUCAACUAUAAUUGCUACAACACCCGCACCGCUUUAUGGUUCUCUCUCCACAAAUCAAGUCUAGUAGCUCAUCGCCUACCACAGCUUGCAAUUUCAUCAUCGUUCCAUUGACUCACCUAAGCUUCAAUCGGGCAAUGGGCCCUUCUAUUUCUCACAUCUAUGGACCUCACUUAGAGCUUGAUGAUUGGGAAGGGUAGGAGACACAACAAUCUUUGCUUUCCAGAAUUAGGGAUUGUUGUUUGUAAUUCAAUGUUUUCAUGUUUGUAAUGUCUAAAAGUGAUGUUUGAAAUUUUAGACUUGGACAUUCAUCUCCUAUCAAAAUUCAAUUUCUUCAUAAUGAAUUUCAUAUCCCUAAUUCUUUAUUUAA